CUCUCUGCAACGGAUUUUGUAUGGCUCCACCACUCUCUGGCAAGUCACGAUAAUGGAUACCACUCCACUCUCCAGGCUCUACCACUUUCUGGCAAGUCGCGACAACGGUCACCACUCCACUUUCCGUAACAAACUCCAUGUGGCCAUGAACGACCCCUGAUGCCACUACUCUCUGUAACAAACUUCACGCGGCUCUGAACAGCCCACUACCAGGCGGUUACAAACGUCGCUGUCAAUCAGUUACGCUCUCCGUCUAUAAAAAGGGAUCCCCAGAUACGUUCUUCUCUAAGCUCUAAACUCUAUCUCGAAACUCUGCUAAAAUUUCCACUCGAGUACUCUAUUUCUGUUGAAGCAGAGUACUGACUUGAGCGUCGGAGGGUCUUGCCGGAGCACCCCCAACUCCGGUUUAGACUUUUUUUUGCAGGUCCCGAUGGCGGCUGCGGUCAUCUCAACUCCAGCAACUCCGACUUCGAUGGAAUUCUGCACCAACAGGAGUAAUUGAGUGACUGAUUGGAGCAUUGAAGUGGCUGUCAAAGCACUAGAAUGGUUGAUUGAAACAGGUUGGUCACCUAGAGGCCAAAGUAAUUGAAAGAAGCACCAAGGUUGAGGAUCAAAGUGCUAGACUGGUCAAUUAAGCACCAAAGUAGUUGAUCCAAGAGUGGAUGAUUAAAACAUUAGAAUGCC
rnacentral:lncRNA from 1 species